rnacentral:rRNA from 1 species
AUUGAACGCUGGCGGCAUGCCUUACACAUGCAAGUCGAACGGCAGCGGGGACUUCGGUCCGCCGGCGAGUGGCGAACGGGUGAGUAAUAUAUCGGAACGUACCUUUCAGUGGGGGAUAACGUAGCGAAAGUUACGCUAAUACCGCAUAUUCUGUGAGCAGGAAAGCAGGGGAUCUUCGGACCUCGCGCUGAUUGAGCGGCCGAUAUCAGAUUAGCUAGUUGGUGAGGUAAAGGCUCACCAAGGCGACGAUCUGUAGCGGGUCUGAGAGGAUGAUCCGCCACACUGGAACUGAGACACGGUCCAGACUCCUACGGGAGGCAGCAGUGGGGAAUUUUGGACAAUGGGGGCAACCCUGAUCCAGCCAUGCCGCGUGAGUGAAGAAGGCCUUCGGGUUGUAAAGCUCUUUCGGCCGGGAAGAAAUCGCACGGGUUAAUACCCCGUGUGGAUGACGGUACCGGAAUAAGAAGCACCGGCUAACUACGUGCCAGCCGCCGCCGUAAGAC